UCUAUCCCUUCUCCUUCCUCCUUCUUUCCGAGCCCAGGUUAGUUGUUCAUAUGGAUUUUACGUCCAUUUUGGGUACUCGGAGCCCGUGGGGAAUCAAGCUGGGUAUGCAGUUUAUCCAAUUAGAGCUUAUCGGCUUGGAAUUAUCCCUUGUUUGCUUUUCUGGUUAUCUUGGAGUCUUAUAUAUAAAGAAGUUGGCGGCGGUGAUGGCCUUUCACCUCCAUUUUCCGCAUUUCUGAAAAAUCUAUAGCACAGAAAUACAACAAACUAAUUAAAUUGUUACAAUAAAGAACAACUAAGUUAACCACCACACCCCAAAAAUAUCUCUAACAAAAAUAUAGCAUGGCACCAGAAGCAAAAGCAAGUUGGCUUGGCUUGGAGCCGUAGCAUAGACCGACCAGGACACAUGCAUGACGCCUGCAUGGAAGGUGCUUGGUCGAUCUUAGGUGCGGAUGGAGCAAGCUAAUCCUUAUGAAGAAAUAUACAACUUGUAUUACUAGGGGGCCAUAGGCCACUACAUAUAAGUGUGUACACGUGGUAACUAUGUGAAAAGUCCCAUAUAUAAUGGGGCUAUUUACACGGCUAACACAUGGCUACCACAUACAAGUCAUGAAAAGAUCUACAAGACUCAGCGAGUCAGAUCAGAGAGAUGCUCAUAUCAGAAGCAUGAAGGUAAAGAUUGAGCUCCAUCACAGUCUCAACAUUACGCCGAUCAUUAAGAAAAUCAAGGGCAAUAUACUUAUCUUGGAAUAUUUAGAAAACCAUCUUAGGUAGAAGAAACCUCAAUCCCAACAAAAUGAUGAAGAGGACCAAGAUGAAACAUAAGAAGCUGCUCACCAAGAUGAGCCUUCACAGAGGUCAUGAACUCAGAAUCAUCUCCAGUGAUGGUCAUGUCAUCAAUGUAUAGAAGAAGAUCCUGGAUGUACUUCUUUUAGGGAUAAAGAAGCCAUUUGAGGUAGAGCAAACCUCAAUCCCGAGGCAGUAGCAAAGAGGACGAAGAUCAGACAUAAGAAACUUCUCACUAAGACAAUGCACUCAUAUUUCAUCCUGUGGUUGAACUCUUCUUCUUCUGUACGUUGAUGACAUGAUUCUGAAAAACCAGCAGCUGUGACCACAAAGGUGAAGCGCUCAGACCAAGCACGAGGGGCCUUCUUAAGACCAUAAAGAGAACGACAAAGGCGGCACCAUGUCGACAUGCGUGUAGACCUCCUCAUGCAACUCACCAUAAAAAAAGGCAUUAUUGACAUAGAGCUGAGAAAUGGACUAGUGGCGAACAGAAGCCACCGCAAGAAGAAUACGAACAGUGGUCAUGUGAGCCAUAGGAGCAAACAUCUCGUCAUAGUCACGACCACACUCCUGCUAAAAACCACGAGCCACAAGACAAGCCUUAUAUCUCUCAAGAGAACCAUCUGAGCGGGUCUUAACCUUGUAGACCCACUUGCAAGUGAUGGACGAACAUGUGGAGGAAGAGAAACAAGAUCCCACGUGCUCUUGCGCUCAAGGGUGACAAUCUCCUCUGCCAUCGCAUGCUGCCAUUCCUCAUGAGCAGAGCAAGAACAUAACGGUAGGAGGUCGACUCAGAAGGAACUGCACUGGCACAACAAUAUCGGUUAAUAGGCGGACGCUGACGAGCACAUAGACGAAGGCCAUCUGUAGGAAGAGGAGGUGUAUCGGAAGAGAAAAACAACUCUACAGGACAAAUGGUCUAGGAUUGUUUUUAGGCUUUGGGCUGCAUGGGGGUCUGCUUUGACUAUUAUUUGGGUGUUGUCAAGCACUACCGGAGGUAGCUGAUCAUUAAGAGGGUGUUAAAUUAUUUUCGCAAAAAAAAGAGGGUGUUGAAUUAGGCUGGCUUCUCCUGCUGAUCAGAAAAGCUGCUGGAGGACGUCAGCAACGAAGAUGAAAAGGAUGCUGCGAAUCCAGUUGCAGAUUUUUUCCUGGCAUCCUCUAGUUUGAAGGAUGACAUUGUUUGAAAGUAACUUCAAGAGUUCUAGCCUUCUAGGUAAGAAUGUAGUAGGCUAUUUUAGUGCAAUUUGGGAGGCACCGUGGAACUGUCAAUUUAUUUUUGACUGAGACGUUGCAUGAACGUUUUAUGAUGAUUAUCCUUUAGUAAACUGAUUGGUUAAUGAGAA